GACGAACGCUGGCGGCGUGCUUAACACAUGCAAGUCGAACGGAAAGGCCCUGCUUUUGUGGGGUGCUCGAGUGGCGAACGGGUGAGUAACACGUGAGUAACCUGCCCUUGACUUUGGGAUAACUUCAGGAAACUGGGGCUAAUACCGGAUAGGAGCUCCUGCUACUUGGUGGGGGUUGGAAAGUUUCGGCGGUUGGGGUUGUACUCGCGGCUUAUCAGCUUGUUGGUGGGGUAGUGGCUUACCAAAGCUUUGACGGGUAGCCGGCCUGAGAGGGUGGCCGGGCACAUGGGGACUGAGAUACGGCGCAGACUCCUACGGGGGGCAACAGGAGAGAAUAUUGCACAAUGGUCGGAAGCCUGAUGCAGAACCGCCGCGUGCGGGAUGACGGCCAUCUGGUUGUAAACCGCUGUCGGCUGUGACGAAGCGGGAGUGACGGUAAUAGAAAAAGAAGCACCGGCUAACUACGUG
rnacentral:rRNA from 1 species